GGGGCUGAAAGGUUUCGACUGCGUGUGUCGAAUCAAGGGAAGCGUGCCGGUGCAGGCAGGAGACCACCGUUAAGCGUCGCUGUAACCAAGUAAGCGCCAAGGUUGCACUUACUCCGGCUAAGGUCGCUCUUCAGAGCGACUUCGCUCUCGCUGCUUAAGCGAUAGCGGGCCUGUCAGACCGGGACCUCCCUCGGCCCGGACCCUGGCAUCGACUAGAGGGAUCCACCGAUACGUCCGGUCGCGGGAUUUAUCGGGACACCAACAGCGACUGGGAUCGUCAUCUCGGCUCGUUCGCGUGACCGGGAGAUCCGAGUAGAGGCAUAGCGAACUGCGCACGGAGAAGCCUUGAGGGAAUGCCGUAGGACCCGGGUUCGAUUCCCGGCAGCUCCACAA
rfam:Mycobacterium terrae strain CIP 104321 contig_44, whole genome shotgun sequence.